rnacentral:lncRNA from 1 species
GUGCUGCGUCUGAUGACAUUUAGCACCUCCAUCUCCUCUUCGUUCUCCAGAAAAGAAGGAUGUCCAAAAGAAGCCAGUAAAUACAUUCUCUCAGAGGUCUUCUGAUUCGAGGUCGCGGGGUAGGGGUCGAGCGGGAGUAAGGGUCGAGGCGGAGUAAAACCAGCUGCGUGUGGUUCUGGAGAUUGACGACUCUCCUCACACAACAGAUUUUCAACACUUAUCGACG